GUGACAGAGAUGCUUCUGUGUUUCAGGAAACUGGUCUGUUAGUCUGCAAGAGGUAGAAAAUUCGAAGAAAUCUGGUUUUCUGGAAGCCAAAUAAGCGAAACGACGGUAUUAUAUUAUUUUAUAUAUGAAAAAUACUAACACUAUAACGUUACAUCUUUCUGAGUGACUUCUUUCAUAUAGGGUUAAAUGCUAGGAGCAGAUGUGAAAAGGAUUCCUGCCUUGAUUUGCCAAUCAAUUAUUAAAUUUGAAUAAUGUUUGUUUUUUUUGCAAACCAAAGAAUUACCAAAGUUUUUUUUUUUUUUUUCUUUUCUCUAGGUAAUUUUAUCUUGACAGAUGAUGGAUCAUAGAUAAACAACACAUUUGUAGCUUGUUUAUGAUAAAGGACUUCAAAGUCAGCAAGUUUUCAAUUGUCAAAAAAUCAAAAAGGCCUUUACCAUGGAUCUCGAUAGAAUAUGGAAAACAAUACUUGGAGAACACAAAGCUAAGACUGGAGAAACUCUCAGAAAUCUACAAGGGGGCAUUGUUCUGUCACCUUGGUAUCUGAGGGUUUUUGGUAUUACUGAUGGAAAACUAAAAGCCCCUCAGGAGAUCUUUGAAACAGCUCCCCUCAUGCAUGUGGUGCCACCGAACAGGACAACCACUUAUGGUGCUCUUGAUUGAGAAGGGAAGGAUCUACCAAAUAUAGAGUUUGGCAGAUCUCACAACAUUGGAUUUAUAAUACUCGACAGAAGUUGUAAUAAAAAUACAAAUUGUUCAACAAUGUUUCAUUUCACUGUUUUUGAUAAGGGUAAAUAUUUCAUGCACAUUUUAGUGCACUUUCAGG